rnacentral:rRNA from 1 species
UUNUAUGGGGUCCUGUUUCGUUGGUUUCUAGGCAUCGCCGUAAUGAUGAAUAGGGGCGGUUGGGGGCAUUUGUAUUCCGUUGCUAGAGGUGAAAUUCUUGGAUUUACGGAAGACAAACUACUGCGAAAGCAUUUGCCAAGGACGCUUUCAUUGAUCAAGAACGAAGGUCAGGGGAUCAGAAAACGAUUAGAUACCGUUGUAGUCUUGACAGUAAACGAUGCCGACUAGGGAUCGGAGAAGCAUUGAUUAUGACUUCUUCGGCACCUAAAGAGAAAUCUUUGAGUAAGGUUCGGGGGGGAGUAUGGUCGCAAGGCUGAAACUUAAAGGAAUUGACGGAAGCGCACCACAAGGGGUGGAGCCUGCGGCUUAAUUUGACUCAACACGGGGAAACUCACCAGGUCCAGACAUGAAAAGGAUUGACAGAUUGAUAGCUCUUUCUUGAUCUCAUGGGUGGUGGUGCAUGGCCGUUCUUAGUUGGUGGAGUGAUUUGUCUGGUUAAUUCCGAUAACGAACGAGACCUUAACCUGCUAAAUACGCCCGGCCGGCCUUGUUGCUGGUCGCAGGCUUCUUAGAGGGACUUUCCGCGCUUAGCGGAAGGAAGUUUGAGGCAAUAACAGGUCUGUGAUGCCCUUAGACGUCUUGGGCCGNACGCGCGCUACACUGACAGAGCCAACGAGUUCUCUUCCUUGGCCGAAAGGUCUGGGUAAUCUUGUGAAACUCUGUCGUGAUGGGGAUAGCGCAUUGCAAU